UACGAAGGGUGCGAGCGUUAAUCGGAAUUACUGGGCGUAAAGAGCACGUAGGCGGUUUGAUAAGCGGGAUGUGAAAGCCCCGGGCUUAACCUGGGAACUGCAUUCCGAACUGUCAGGCUAGAGUAUGAUAGAGGUGAGCGGAAUUUCCUGUGUAGCGGUGAAAUGCGUAGAUAUAGGAAGGAACAUCAGUUGCGAAGGCGGCUCACUGGAUCAAUACUGACGCUGAGGUGCGAAAGCGUGGGUAGCGAACAGG
rnacentral:rRNA from 1 species